CAGGGCUACUGCUUUGCAUAGGGCCGUCCCAGUGACUGCACCCUGCUCUGGGGAGAAGCUAUAAAGGGGCCGGUUUAACGCCUGGUGUCUCUCAGCUCUGUGUCAGUCGGUGCAGAAGCAGCAAGAUGCUGUGGCAGAUUCAGCUUUGGCUCCUUGUGCUCUGGGCUCAAGGAUCCAGUGGGGACAUCUUUGUGACUCAGAGUCCAGAAUCCCUAACAGUGUCUCCAGGAGACACAGUCACCAUCAAGUGCAAAACCAGUUCUAGCGUUGGCAGGGACAUGAACUUCUACCAGCAGAAACCAGGACAACCCCCAAUGCUUCUUCUCCAUGACACAAACAAAGGCCCUUCUGGGAUCCUAGAUCAGUUCAGUGGCAGUGGGUCUGGCAUUGACUUCACUUUUACCAUCAGCCGGAUGCAAGUUGGAGAUUCUGGAGAUUAUUACUGUCAGCAGCAUCAGAGCUCCCCGCUCACAGUGCUACAGCCCCGUACAAAAACCUCCCUGCUCUGCUCAGUCCUGCUGCUCCCGGCACCAGCUGCUUCCUGCACGGUCACAGGCCAGUGGCUCUGCUGACCUGGUGCAGCAGGGCCAGGUGAUG